UACAGAGGGUGCGAGCGUUGUCCGGAAUCACUGGGCGUAAAGGGCGCGUAGGCGGCUCAUGAAGGCUGUGGUGAAAGUCCGGGGCUCAACCUCGGAUCGGCCGUGGCGACUCGUGGGCUGGAGCACUGUAGAGGCGGGUGGAAUUCCCGGUGUAGUGGUGAAAUGCGUAGAGAUCGGGAGGAACACCAGUGGCGAAGGCGGCCCUCUGGGCCGGGCCUGACGCUGAGACGCGAGGGCGUGGGGAGCGAACGGG
rnacentral:rRNA from 1 species